GACGAACGCUGGCGGCGUGCUUAACACAUGCAAGUCGAACGGAAAGGCCCUGCUUUUGUGGGGUGCUCGAGUGGCGAACGGGUGAGGAACACGUGAGUAACCUGCCCUUGACUUUGGGAUAACUUCAGGAAACUGGGGCUAAUACCGGAUAGGAGCUCCUGCUGCAUGGUGGGGGUUGGAAAGUUUCGGCGGUUGGGGAUGGACUCGCGGCUUAUCAGCUUGUUGGUGGGGUAGUGGCUUACCAAGGCUUUGACGGGUAGCCGGCCUGAGAGGGUGAACGGCCACAUUGGGACUGAGAUACGGCCCAGUGUCCUACGGGAGGCAGCAGUGGGGAGUAUUGCACAAUGGGAGGAAGCCGGAUGCAGCAACGCCGCGUGCGGGAUGACGGCCUUCGGGUUGUAAACCGCUUUCGCCUGUGACGAAGCGUGAGUGACGGUAAUGAGUAAAGAAGCACCGGCUAACUACGUG
rnacentral:rRNA from 1 species